rnacentral:hammerhead_ribozyme from 1 species
AUCCAGCUGACGAGUCCCGAAUAGGACGAACCUCGCGUCAAUGGAU